UUUGAUCCUGGCUCAGGAUGAACGCUAGCUACAGGCUUAACACAUGCAAGUCGAGGGGCAUCAGGAAGAAAGCUUGCUUUCUUUGCUGGCGACCGGCGCACGGGUGAGUAACACGUAUCCAACCUGCCCUUUACUCGGGGAUAGCCUUUCGAAAGAAAGAUUAAUACCCGAUGGCAUAAUGAUUCCGCAUGGUUUCAUUAUUAAAGGAUUCCGGUAAAGGAUGGGGAUGCGUUCCAUUAGGUUGUUGGUGAGGUAACGGCUCACCAAGCCUUCGAUGGAUAGGGGUUCUGAGAGGAAGGUCCCCCACAUUGGAACUGAGACACGGUCCAAACUCCUACGGGAGGCAGCAGUGAGGAAUAUUGGUCAAUGGGCGCUAGCCUGAACCAGCCAAGUAGCGUGAAGGAUGAAGGCUCUAUGGGUCGUAAACUUCUUUUAUAUAAGAAUAAAGUGCAGUAUGUAUACUGUUUUGUAUGUAUUAUAUGAAUAAGGAUCGGCUAACUCCGUGCCAGCAGCCGCGGUAAUACGGAGGAUCCGAGCGUUAUCCGGAUUUAUUGGGUUUAAAGGGAGCGUAGGUGGACUGGUAAGUCAGUUGUGAAAGUUUGCGGCUCAACCGUAAAGUUGCAGUUGAUACUGUCAGUCUUGAGUACAGUAGAGGUGGGCGGAAUUCGUGGUGUAGCGGUGAAAUGCUUAGAUAUCACGAAGAACUCCGAUUGCGAAGGCAGCUCACUGGACUGCAACUGACACUGAUGCUCGAAAAGUGUGGGUAUCAAACAGGAUUAGAUACCCUGGUAGUCCACACAGUAAACGAUGAAUACUCGCUGUUUGCGAUAUACAGUAAGCGGCCAAGCGAAAGCAUUAAGUAUUCCACCUGGGGAGUACGCCGGCAACGGUGAAACUCAAAGGAAUUGACGGGGGCCCGCACAAGCGGAGGAACAUGUGGUUUAAUUCGAUGAUACGCGAGGAACCUUACCCGGGCUUAAAUUGCAGUGGAAUGAUGUGGAAACAUGUCAGUGAGCAAUCACCGCUGUGAAGGUGCUGCAUGGUUGUCGUCAGCUCGUGCCGUGAGGUGUCGGCUUAAGUGCCAUAACGAGCGCAACCCUUAUCUUCAGUUACUAACAGGUCAUGCUGAGGACUCUGGAGAGACUGCCGUCGUAAGAUGUGAGGAAGGUGGGGAUGACGUCAAAUCAGCACGGCCCUUACGUCCGGGGCUACACACGUGUUACAAUGGGGGGUACAGAAGGCAGCUAGCGGGUGACCGUAUGCUAAUCCCAAAAGCCUCUCUCAGUUCGGAUCGAAGUCUGCAACCCGACUUCGUGAAGCUGGAUUCGCUAGUAAUCGCGCAUCAGCCACGGCGCGGUGAAUACGUUCCCGGGCCUUGUACACACCGCCCGUCAAGCCAUGGGAGCCGGGGGUACCUGAAGUACGUAACCGCAAGGAUCGUCCUAGGGUAAAACUGGUGACUGGGGCUAAGUCGUAACAAGGUAACC
rnacentral:rRNA from 1 species